rnacentral:lncRNA from 1 species
UCCUGAUCCGCCCGCCUCGGCCUCCCAAAGUGCUGGGAUUACAGGCGUGAGCCACCGCGCCCGGCCGGUACUCCGAAGCCCUCAGAUCGGCGACCUGGGCGCUGUAGGCACCGAGAAAAUACAGGCACCGAGCCAGAAGCAGUGCCGCAACCAAGAGACCUCGGCUUGGCGAAAUGGCGGCGUCUGGAGCCUGCGAGUGACGCCAGCUGGUGGGGCUGUCAAGGAGAACAUUCGUUACGGCGCAACCAACGGUACUGUCACCAAGAAACCGUCGUCUCUGAGAAAAAAAGAGACGUUCGGCCGCCGAGAAACUCCGUACAAGUGCUGUGACAGAAAAACCGCCGGCUCCGCGCAGCGGCAAAAGAGCCAACGGGAACGCCGGGUGCUGCGACCAUGACCCCGGCACUGGAGGACGUGGGAUGGAGAAUGGGACACACGGAGCGAGAAGGGAAACGUUUCGUGCAGACCAACUAGCGCCGCCGCCACCGGAAAACUGACUCGCCAGUGCUGCCAAUGAAGUGCGUGUGAGAAACCGAUGACUGGUGGGAGGAGCAGCGCUGGGCGCUGGACCCGCGAGUGUGAGAAUCUGGCGGCGCUAGGACCCUUCAGGCGCGGGCACGAGGCGAAACCCAGCGCUGUUGCCAAAGACAAAUGCGCGUUCUUUUGGGCGCCAUCAGCGGUGCAGCCAGUGAUCACUCCCAGGCUCUGAGAAACUAGAGAUGUCAGCCACAAACCCUCCGUUCAGGGAAAGUUUGCGGCGCCGUGACGGAUCGACUGGCACUGGGUGCAACAUUGUCUUGUGGCCUAGAGACUAGAAUAUAAAAACAAAAACCAAAUACAAAACUGCUGCUGGCAUUACUCCUACUCUCCCCCCUCAAGUCAGUGGCUUCAGGCUUAAGAAAACCUGUAUUUUUCUUGGCUGUGCCAUAAUCCGUAAUUACCGAGGCCCCCAGCGACCCACCCAGUGUGAUUCGCAGAGGGAAAGGAGCUGGAAUAAGGACCGUGAAUGGGGCGGAUGUGGCUCGUCCUGGGAGAGAGCUAAAGCUUAUGCUGGUCGCAAACAGCAUUACAUUGCAGGAAACUGCUCUUCCAAUGGCCGUGGCUGGGUCCUUCCACACCAUCCCUCUGCCCUAGACCUUUGUCCCCGUUCAGAGCCAUCAGAGAUUCUAGGAGAGCUGUCGACAACCGCAUCUCUUCGGAACUUGGAAACUCUAGGUUCAAGAUCUCCGUGGAGAAUGAAAGGCACAGUCGCCUGACCCGGGCAUCAGGCUUGCCCCGCACAUCAAGUCCCUCCCCUACUGGAUGGAACUCUGUGGCAAUCGCUCCUUAUUCUGAUGGUUCACUCUGUCAGAUAUCCUCGAUAUUUGGGGAUAGUAGUUCAAAAACAGCCGGGGAGGAAAAUGGGCUGAAAGAUUCCAGCGUUGGAUGUAGAAUUGACAGCGAGACAUACACCUCCUCUCUAAGCCCAGAGAAAAGCUCAAGUUGUGGUUCUCUGUCUCUAGCAGCAUGAUCUUCAAAAUGCAUCAUUGAUUUCUAUCUUCUGGGAAAUGCAAUGCAGGUGAACUUGUAAGUGCUCAAAUCCUCCAUCUCCUCACUUUUCAGACUGAGGCCUUUUUUUUUUUAAAUCUGAGAAGAAAUAUGGGACUGCCACUGCUCAGUAGGAAAAUGUCCUUUCCCACAAGCAUUUAUAUUUUAAUAAAAAUCUGCACUUUGUGAGUUGAGCCCCCUCAAAGAGACCUACAAACCCUGCCACAAAUAUCUCCAACCACACUCAUCAUUUCCGAUUUUCAUCACUGCUGCUCCUGUGCAAACCAAACUAUCCUUUCCCUGGGGCAUCCUAGGUAGAGGCCAUGCCAGGACAAAGGCAGAGAUAUGCCUGCCUGGUAAGGAAAUCCAUUUUGGCCUUGUAAUUCUCACCCUCUCCCAAGAUGUUUGCCUCAAUAUCUCCUUCCCACCUUACCCCGUCUUCAGCUAGCCAAAACAUUCCCUGGUAUUUGAGGCCCUUCCAAUUUCCUCCUGGUUUUGUGGGUGGGAGAAUAAAGAAAAAACUGCACUGUUCCCACCCACAUAGUUACAGCCACUUUAUCAAACGGAAGAGCAGUCUGGAGCCAUUGCAAAACAAAAUACCUGCCACAACUCCUCUCUUCUCAUUUCGACUCCAGCUUUUCAUCUUAGCAAAAAAGUUGCAAUCAGCACCCCCUAGACGGAAGGAAUAUCCUGUCUUAAUGGGAGUCCAUAGGAGGCUGCAGGCUGCUCCCCUACAGAGACUAACAUCAAGGAGGAAAUCAGUGGUGCUUCAGGAUAUUGUGAAUUUGGUCUUCUGAAAGCAGAAUUCUGAUUUAACAGUAUAAUGGAAUUCGUGAACGUCAUGAUGCUAAUUUGAACCAACAAGCACCCUUGUGAGAGGAAUCUGCUUUUCCUCAAGUCUGAAGAACACCAGGAGAAUCUUUCUGUAUGGAGUUACCAGGAAUCCUCUGCUAAGGAAAGUGAAAGGGAAGAUGCAAUUUCUCCUGGGAAGGGGGGAUGCUGAUGUAGAGGGUGACAAGUAAUAUGCCAUGAAGGAUUCAGUCACCUGGUUAGAUUUAGAGUUAGAGUUAUGGUUAAGGAAGAAGGAAGGAAAAAAGGCAGAAGAGGAAGAAAGGAAGCAAGAAAAGAUAAAAUUUAUUCUAAGAUAAAAUUUGUGAAUUUUGCUAAACUAUAUAUAUUUAUUUAUUUAUUUAUUUUAUUUAUUUAUUUAUUUUUGCUGUCAUUAGCCAAGAUAAGGAAUCUUCAAGUUGAGUAAGACUGGAUUUAGAAUUGUCUGGGGGCUUUCAAAAGAGCCAUUCAGUAAAUAAGAAAGAAUACAGGCCUGCAGCACCAGAGUCUGAGCUGGGGGCAUAGGUUUGUGUGAAUUUGGGCAUGGUGGCUCAGGUCUGUAAUCCCAGCACUUUGGGAGGCUGAAGUUGAGGACUGCUUGAGCUCAGGAGUCUGAGACCACCCUGGGCAACAUGGGGAGACCCCAUCUCUACAAAAAAAUAAAAAAUAUUAACCCAAGGUGGUGGCAUGCACCUUGCUGCCAGCUACUGUGGAGGCUGAGGUGAGAGGAUUGUUUAAGUCCAGGAUGUUGAGACUGCAGUGAGCCCUGUUUGUGGCACUGCACUCCUGCCUGGUCCACAGAGGGAGACUCUGUCUGAAGGUGGGGAAAGAAAAGAUUUGUAUGAAUUUGGUGCUGCUUUGUAUUUCAAAAUAGGAAAGUGGAUAUACGAAUAUAUGGCAUAAAAGGUCCAGAUACUGGACCCCAGUGAACUCAAUUGUUUUCAAGGUCUGACUUUAACCUUGCUAGGCUGAAGAAUCUGGAAUGGCUCAGAUGUUUCUAGUUCAGCUGUAACUUUUGCCUCCUUUAGAGUAAAGCUGUGGGGGACUUGAGUAUACUCAGAGUGGAUCUGAGAGGUAUCUGCUUCCAGAAUGAAUUAGAAUUCCUGGAUUUGAAUCAUAAUCAGAUGGCUGUUAAGGGGUUAUUGAAGACAUAUGGCUCUUAAGUUCACAAUAUUGAAUUCAGGUGAAUAUUAUAAAUAUUUGUAAGUUGGAUUAUAUUAUUGAAGCACUUGGUAAAAAUUGCCAUGCAGGGAUAAAUGUAGGAAGGGGAUUGCAGAGUCUGAUAUCUAAAAAAUAAGUGGAGCAGCAUUUGGAAACCCCGUUCACAUUUUCAAUCUCUUUUCUCUCAUUAGAACCUAACUGCUAUCCUCUAAUCCCUACUUUUGAAAAAAUGUAUUUAAGGCUGGGCGUGGUGGCUCACGCCUGUAAUCCCAGCACUUUGGAAGGCCGAAGUGGGUGGAUCACGAGGUCAGGAGAUCGAGACCAUCCUGGCUAACAUGGUGAAACCCCAUCUCUACUAAAAAUACAAAAAAUUAGCCGGGCGUUGUGGUGGGCACCUGUAGUCCUAGCUACUCGGGAGGCUGAGGCAGGAGAAUGGCGUGAACCCAGGAGGCAGAGCUUGUAGUGAGCUGAGAUCGCGCCACUGCACUCCAGCCUGGGCGACAGAGCGAGACUCCGUCUCAGAAAAAAAAAAAAAGAAAAAAUGUAUUUAAAAACUCAGCAAACAUUAAUGGAGAUAUUCCAAGAGCCAGGCUCCUGGUUCCAAGACCCCACUCAGAGGACUAAGCUCAAAUCUAAUAAGAUGUGUAGGCUUGGGGCCAGUGGGGCGAGGGGAUAUCCACAGGAGGGCCAAUCGAACAAGGCCUCAGACUCAUGAGCCUCAAAUGUAGAUGUUAGAUUUUUCCUCCAAUUGAGAUUAUACAUACAGCCACAGAGCUUCAUGGAUGCAAAUGAAAAUGGUCAUGUCUCAACUUUUAAACUGUGCUCAAUUAGAGGAACUCAUUGCCUAUGGCAUAGUGUCAUGUAAUAAAAUGGUUUUUUUGUUGUCUAAUCUUGUAGUUAGUACAGUGAUAGUACAUUGGGUUUUUGUGUUAAAAGAAGUCAUUUGUUAUCCCAGCACUUUGGGAGGCCGAGGCAGGCAGAUCACCUGAGGUCAGGAGUUCAAGACCAGCCUGACCAACAUGAUGAGACCCCAUCUCUACUGAAUUAGCCAGGCAUGGUGGCGCAUGCCUGUAAUCCCAGUUACUCGGGAGGCUCAGGCAGGAGAAUCGCUUGAAUCGGGAGGCAGCGAUUGCCGUGAGCCAAAAUUGCGCCACUGCAGUCCAGCUUGGGCAACAAGAGCAAAACUCUGUCUCAAAAAAAAAAAAAAAAAAAAAA